CGUGGACGAGGUUAUCUCCUGCAGCCAUCCAGAGUUUUAGGAGUCUGUGCGCACAUGGGCGAACCAUCGGGUUGGAGCGGGUUGUCGGAACAAAUCCCUGCGAGUGGCUGCAAGCUAUUUGGAGUUUGAGACAAUGAUGAGGUAUUCUGGAUGGGUUCGUCCCCGCUGGUGUUUCUCAUCGAGAAGUGCAUUGCAUGUGAUACUUCUUUUCACUUUAGAGCAAGGUAAAGUGGACGGUCCUUGGAUAGUGUUUAAGUUGUACCUGGAGUGCCAAUUGCCUGGAAAGACGCUGAGUAGGAUACUCCAGUGUAGCCUGAGGCAGCUCCCUCCAAUUGCCUAUGCAGCAUGCAGGACUCGACGCUACUUCGUAGCUGUCCAUCUGGAAUUAUGGCUGGGAAGGGAGCUUCGACAAUUGGCUAAGAAAGCUAUAUAGCCACCCGAAACGGUCUGCUUCCUAUAUAGAUGCCGUGGCCAGACGCCUUUUUAAAUCUGAAAAGUAUGCCAUCAGCACCGUCCGUGUCGCUCCGCAUUAGCUCGGCUGGUUGAGAAUCACUGGUAUUUAAAGUGAGGCAGGGAUGCCAUCCCAAUCGUCUUGCAGAUGCACCUCCUAGGAUUGACGAUGUUCAGUCAAUGGACUUCCAGGAUAUCCUGAACUUGGUCCUCAACGGCAUCUAUUGAACUUUCGAUGGUUGGCUUGAUAUUGAAUUUCUGCCAGAAAUCAAUUCCCAGGAUGCACUUUCUGUUCAGAUCUGGAGCUAUAACUACAGGUAAGAUUCUUGUUUUUCCGUUAAAUGUAAUUGGGAUUAUGCAUUCACCUGCGACCUUCAAAUUUUCUCCCGAAGCUGUUUUCAAAUUCAGCUUAG